rnacentral:misc_RNA from 1 species
GAUUUUCUAAUAAAUGCAACAGGACAUUUUGCCAUCUGUAGCAUAAUGCAGUUUGAUAGCAUUGGAUGAUAUUUUAUUGCUUGUCGAUGGACACAUAAAUUAUUUCUAUAUCUUUCUAUGCGAGACAAAAUUUGAUAAAGAUAACAAUCAUUCUUCUUCUCUUCAUAAAUAUCUCUUCCGACAUGAAUUAUCUUCUUUUCACCCUUGCCUUCUUUGUAUUAAGUUUCAAUUUAUUGCUACCUAUUUAGUCGUCGAUUAAUUUUAAUUACGAAUUAUGGAAAGUGAUAAAGUAUUAACAAUAGAGAGGCGUUUUCUUGCAACGCUGAAAACAUGAUAACAAUAUCAACCUUUUGAUCGAAACGAAUCAAAUGUUCAAAUAGUUAUGAACGCUAGUGUAC